CAGUCGCCACGGGAAUACCAGCACCUCGAGUGGUCAGGAGGUUUAUUGGGCCUAAAGCAUCCGUAGCCGGUUGCAUAAGUUUUCGGUUAAAUCUAUGCGCUUAACGUAUAGGCCGCCGAAAAUACUGUGCAGCUAGGGAGUGGGAGAGGUACACGGUACUCGAUAGGAAGGGGUAAAAUCCUUUGAUCUAUUGAUGACCACCUGUGGCGAAGGCGGUGUACCAGAACACGUUCGACGGUGAGGGAUGAAAGCUGGGGGAGCAAACCGGAUUAGAUACCCCCGUAGUCCCUGUCUCUUAUAC
rnacentral:rRNA from 1 species